rnacentral:rRNA from 1 species
GACGAACGCUGGCGGCGUGCUUAACACAUGCAAGUCGAACGGUGAACCACUUCGGUGGGGAUCAGUGGCGAACGGGUGAGUAACACGUGGGCAACCUGCCCUUAGCUCUGGGAUAACCCCGGGAAACCGGGGCGUAAUACCGGAUACGACCUCGAGCGGCAUCACUCGAGGUGGAAAGAACUUCGGCUAAGGAUGGGCCCGCGGCCUAUCAGCUUGUUGGUGGGGUAAGUGGCCUACCAAGGCGACGACGGGUAGCCGGCCU